rnacentral:rRNA from 1 species
UGGGGAAUAUUGCACAAUGGAGGGAACACUGAUGCAGCGACGCCGCGUGAACGAAGAAGGCUUUCGAGUCGUAAAGUUCUUUUAUAUGGGAAGAUAAUGACGGUAUCAUAGGAGGAAGCCCUGGCUAAAUACGUGCCAGCAGCCGCGGUAAUACGUAUGGGGCGAGCGUUGUCCGGAAUUAUUGGGCGUAAAGGGUACGUAGGUGGUUUUUUAAGUCAGGUGUCAAAGCGUGGAGCUUAACUCCAUUAAGCACUUGAAACUGAAAGACUUGAGUGAAGGAGAGGAAAGUGGAAUUCCUAGUGUAGCGGUGAAAUGCGUAGAUAUUAGGAGGAAUACCGGUGGCGAAGGCGACUUUCUGGACUUUUACUGACGCUCAGGUACGAAAGCGUGGGGAGCAAACAGG